GCCAGAGUGGUGUAGUAGUUUGAGUGCUGGACUGUGAUUCUGGAGGCAAGGUUUGAUUCCCUGCUCUGGCA